GACGAACGCUGGCGGCGUGCUUAACACAUGCAAGUCGAACGGAAAGGCCCUGCUUUUGUGGGGUGCUCGAGUGGCGAACGGGUGAGAAACACGUGAGUAACCUGCCCUUGACUGUGGGAUAACUUCAGGAAACUGGGGCUAAUACCGGAGAGGAGCUCCUGCAGCAGGGGGGGGGUUGGAACGUUUCGGCGGUUGGGGGUGGACUCGGGGCUUAUUAGCUGGUUGGGUGGAGACUGGCUUACCAAGGGUUUGACGGGUAGCCGACCUGGGAGGGUGAACACCGACAUUGCGACUGCGGUAGGACCCAGUCUCCAACAGUGGGCAGCAGUGGAGAAUAUUGUACAGCGGGGGCAAGCCUGAUGAGGAGGCCCUCCGUGCGGGAUGACGGCUUUCUGGGUGUAAACCGCUGUCGGCUGAGACGAAGCUGGAUUGACGGUAAUGGGUAAAGAAGCACCGGCUAACUACGUG
rnacentral:rRNA from 1 species